rnacentral:rRNA from 1 species
AGCCAUGCGAGUCAACGUAGCAAUACGUGGCAUACGGCUCAGUAACACGUAGUCAACAUGCCCAGAGGACGUGGAUAACCUCGGGAAACUGAGGAUAAACCGCGAUAGGUCAUAAUAUCUGGAAUGAUUUAUGGUUUAAAUCUAUAUGGCCUCUGGAUUGGACUGCGGCCGAUCAGGCUGUUGGUGAGGUAAUGGCCCACCAAACCUAAAACCGGUACGGGCUCUGAGAGGAGAAGCCCGGAGAUGGGCACUGAGACAAGGGCCCAGGCCCUAUGGGGCGCAGCAGGCGCGAAAACUCUGCAAUAAGCGAAAGCUUGACAGGGUUAUUCUGAGUGAUUUCCGCUAAGGAAAUCUUUUGGCACCUCUAAAAAUGGUGCAGAAUAAGGGGUGGGCAAGCCUGGUGUCAGCCGCCGCGGUAAUACCAGCACCCCGAGUGGUCGGGACGAUUAUUGGGCCUAAAGCAUCCGUAGCCGGUUCUACAAGUCUUCCGUUAAAUCCACCUGCUUAACAGAUGGGCUGCGGAGGAUACUAUGGAGCUAGGAGGCGGGAGAGGCAAGCGGUACUUAGUGGGUAGGGGUAAAAUCCG